rnacentral:rRNA from 1 species
UAAUACGUAGGGUGCAGGCGUUAAUCGGAAUUACUGGGCGUAAAGCGUGCGCAGGCGGCUUCCUAAGUCAGAUGUGAAAUCCCCGGGCUCAACCUGGGAACUGCGUUUGAAACUGGGAGGCUAGAGUGCGGCAGAGGGGGGUGGAAUUCCACGUGUAGCAGUGAAAUGCGUAGAUAUGUGGAGGAACACCGAUGGCGAAGGCAGCCCCCUGGGCCAGCACUGACGCUCAUGCACGAAAGCGUGGGGAGCAAACAGGAUUAGAUACCCUGGUAGUCCACGCCCUAAACGAUGUCGACUAGUUGUUGGGGGAGUCUGUCCCUCAGUAACGUAGCUAACGCGUGAAGUCGACCGCCUGGGGAGUACGGUCGCAAGAUUA